rnacentral:rRNA from 1 species
UUAAGCGACUAAGCGUACACGGUGGAUGCCCUGGCAGUCAGAGGCGAUGAAGGACGUGCUAAUCUGCGAUAAGCGUCGGUAAGGUGAUAUGAACCGUUAUAACCGGCGAUUUCCGAAUGGGGAAACCCAGUGUGAUUCGUCACACUAUCAUUAACUGAAUCCAUAGGUUAAUGAGGCGAACCGGGGGAACUGAAACAUCUAAGUACCCCGAGGAAAAGAAAUCAACCGAGAUUCCCCCAGUAGCGGCGAGCGAACGGGGAGGAGCCCAGAGCCUGAAUCAGUGUGUGUGUUAGUGGAAGCGUCUGGAAAGGCGCGCGAUACAGGGUGACAGCCCCGUACACAAAAAUGCACAUGCUGUGAGCUCGAUGAGUAGGGCGGGACACGUGGUAUCCUGUCUGAAUAUGGGGGGACCAUCCUCCAAGGCUAAAUACUCCUGACUGACCGAUAGUGAACCAGUACCGUGAGGGAAAGGCGAAAAGAACCCCGGCGAGGGGAGUGAAAAAGAACCUGAAACCGUGUACGUACAAGCAGUGGGAGCACAGAGCAAUCUGUGUGACUGCGUACCUUUUGUAUAAUGGGUCAGCGACUUAUAUUCUGUAGCAAGGUUAACCGAAUAGGGGAGCCGAAGGGAAACCGAGUCUUAACUGGGCGUUAAGUUGCAGGGUAUAGACCCGAAACCCGGUGAUCUAGCCAUGGGCAGGUUGAAGGUUGGGUAACACUAACUGGAGGACCGAACCGACUAAUGUUGAAAAAUUAGCGGAUGACUUGUGGCUGGGGGUGAAAGGCCAAUCAAACCGGGAGAUAGCUGGUUCUCCCCGAAAGCUAUUUAGGUAGCGCCUCGUGAAUUCAUCUCCGGGGGUAGAGCACUGUUUCGGCAAGGGGGUCAUCCCGACUUACCAACCCGAUGCAAACUGCGAAUACCGGAGAAUGUUAUCACGGGAGACACACGGCGGGUGCUAACGUCCGUCGUGAAGAGGGAAACAACCCAGACCGCCAGCUAAGGUCCCAAAGUCAUGGUUAAGUGGGAAACGAUGUGGGAAGGCCCAGACAGCCAGGAUGUUGGCUUAGAAGCAGCCAUCAUUUAAAGAAAGCGUAAUAGCUCACUGGUCGAGUCGGCCUGCGCGGAAGAUGUAACGGGGCUAAACCAUGCACCGAAGCUGCGGCAGCGACGCUUAUGCGUUGUUGGGUAGGGGAGCGUUCUGUAAGCCUGCGAAGGUGUGCUGUGAGGCAUGCUGGAGGUAUCAGAAGUGCGAAUGCUGACAUAAGUAACGAUAAAGCGGGUGAAAAGCCCGCUCGCCGGAAGACCAAGGGUUCCUGUCCAACGUUAAUCGGGGCAGGGUGAGUCGACCCCUAAGGCGAGGCCGAAAGGCGUAGUCGAUGGGAAACAGGUUAAUAUUCCUGUACUUGGUGUUACUGCGAAGGGGGGACGGAGAAGGCUAUGUUGGCCGGGCGACGGUUGUCCCGGUUUAAGCGUGUAGGCUGGUUUUCCAGGCAAAUCCGGAAAANNAAGGCUGAGGCGUGAUGACGAGGCACUACGGUGCUGAAGCAACAAAUGCCCUGCUUCCAGGAAAAGCCUCUAAGCAUCAGGUAACAUCAAAUCGUACCCCAAACCGACACAGGUGGUCAGGUAGAGAAUACCAAGGCGCUUGAGAGAACUCGGGUGAAGGAACUAGGCAAAAUGGUGCCGUAACUUCGGGAGAAGGCACGCUGAUAUGUAGGUGAAGUCCCUCGCGGAUGGAGCUGAAAUCAGUCGAAGAUACCAGCUGGCUGCAACUGUUUAUUAAAAACACAGCACUGUGCAAACACGAAAGUGGACGUAUACGGUGUGACGCCUGCCCGGUGCCGGAAGGUUAAUUGAUGGGGUNNNNNNNNNNNNNNNNNNNNAGCGCAAGCGAAGCUCUUGAUCGAAGCCCCGGUAAACGGCGGCCGUAACUAUAACGGUCCUAAGGUAGCGAAAUUCCUUGUCGGGUAAGUUCCGACCUGCACGAAUGGCGUAAUGAUGGCCAGGCUGUCUCCACCCGAGACUCAGUGAAAUUGAACUCGCUGUGAAGAUGCAGUGUACCCGCGGCAAGACGGAAAGACCCCGUGAACCUUUACUAUAGCUUGACACUGAACAUUGAGCCUUGAUGUGUAGGAUAGGUGGGAGGCUUUGAAGUGUGGACGCCAGUCUGCAUGGAGCCGACCUUGAAAUACCACCCUUUAAUGUUUGAUGUUCUAACGUUGACCCGUNNNNNNNNNNNNNNNAUCCGGGUUGCGGACAGUGUCUGGUGGGUAGUUUGACUGGGGCGGUCUCCUCCUAAAGAGUAACGGAGGAGCACGAAGGUUGGCUAAUCCUGGUCGGACAUCAGGAGGUUAGUGCAAUGGCAUAAGCCAGCUUGACUGCGAGCGUGACGGCGCGAGCAGGUGCGAAAGCAGGUCAUAGUGAUCCGGUGGUUCUGAAUGGAAGGGCCAUCGCUCAACGGAUAAAAGGUACUCCGGGGAUAACAGGCUGAUACCGCCCAAGAGUUCAUAUCGACGGCGGUGUUUGGCACCUCGAUGUCGGCUCAUCACAUCCUGGGGCUGAAGUAGGUCCCAAGGGUAUGGCUGUUCGCCAUUUAAAGUGGUACGCGAGCUGGGUUUAGAACGUCGUGAGACAGUUCGGUCCCUAUCUGCCGUGGGCGCUGGAGAACUGAGGGGGGCUGCUCCUAGUACGAGAGGACCGGAGUGGACGCAUCACUGGUGUUCGGGUUGUCAUGCCAAUGGCACUGCCCGGUAGCUAAAUGCGGAAGAGAUAAGUGCUGAAAGCAUCUAAGCACGAAACUUGCCCCGAGAUGAGUUCUCCCUGACUCCUUGAGAGUCCUGAAGGAACGUUGAAGACGACGACGUUGAUAGGCCGGGUGUGUAAGCGCAGCGAUGCGUUGAGCUAACCGGUACUAAUGAACCGUGAGGCUUAACCUU